rnacentral:lncRNA from 12 species
GAGUGGUUUCUGUUCUGGGAAAGAAGGAAAGCUGCCAGAGGAGAGGGUUGCUGGGUGUGUGAGACCAGGGAUGGAGGCUGGGGAAAAGUGACACAUUCACAGUGACUGCAGACUCCCUGCAGGAAAGCAGAACACAUAUAACUGGGUUAUGUGCUAUAUAUUAUAUAUAACUGGGUGCUGCUCCCCAAAAUUGCCUGUUUUGCAGAGAAUCUGAAGCUCUGGAGGGUUUGUGUCAUACAUUGCUGUGUAGGAGAGAGAUGGGACAGGAAUUCUGUUCAGGAGAUCCAGAACAGGAGAACAGGGAUGUCAGGCAGGAUCACCAACUCCUUGGAGAGGAAGCACCUCAUGUUUGGAUUUCUCCAGACGAGCUCCUGAACACACAGGGAGGAACUUUGGAUACCCUGCUCAUGCCAGUAGUGAGUGUGAGUUUUUUGUGGUGCAUCCUUGCAUUCGUGGCUGAUCGAAUUAGAUUUUCUAGUCUUUUCAAAUUCUCACCAGAUUUGCUAGUUACAGACCUUUGGCUGUGGAAAGCUCAGGUGUUUCUGCUCCUUCUCCAGGCCAGGGUCUGGAGUGGAAGGCACAA